rnacentral:misc_RNA from 1 species
GUAGGUGAACCUGCGGUUGGAUCAUUAAAAAGAUCUAGCCCGAUUUUGCACCUGGCCUUGAGCUGGUGGAAUGACAGGCUUUUCUCACGUGCGUGAGUCAACAUCAUGUGAACUGUUUUGUCUCUGGCGGUGGGAUGGCUCAAAACCGUCUGUCAGCAUCCGAGGUAAUCUCGGUGUGCCGUGGACAAGCCGCCAACGGUGUAUGUUUCAUACAAACUUUUUGUUUCAUUAAAACUGUCUGACCUACUUUUGUAUCUAAAUAAUACAAAAACAACUUUUGGCAACGGAUCUCUUGGCUCCC